GCGGUGUGUUUGGGGGGUUCUUGCGUUUUCUGCGUUCUUUGUUUGCUUCGCUGUUACUUCUUUGUAGUAUUCCUGCGGGUUGCACGCUUUUUAUGGGCUUGUUGCUUCGAAGAUCACCAUGAUCGCCUCCGACUCAGCGACAUCAAAGAUUCCAAAUGAGCUGGGAGACACUCCAGCCGAAAGGCGAAAGGUUCACAUAGGUUGGAGGAGUGCGCAUUGAGAAGGUUAUCCUGGCACAGCUUACCAUGGCCUGCCAUGGUGGACAAGGAAAGUUUGCAAGGGCCUUGCUUCAAGAGGCUCUUGACCCCACCAGGGUCAACGCUGUUAUAGGCUUCACGUGUCGCAAAUUUCCUGGUACCAACUCUGGCCUCAAUUCUUGCAUGGGACCAAAAGCCUUUGAAGAGCUCAAGUUGGACAGCUCAAACCAAAACACAAGUGUGCUUUUGUAACUCUCGACAUUUUUAUGUUCGUUUAUGUUUAUGUUAGUCUCCUGAAGAGCUCAAUUCGGAUUUCUCAAAUGAGCGUACAAAUGUUGUGCCUUUGUAUGCCUUGGCAUUUUUUUGUUAAUUUUAUUUAUUUAACUAUGCUAGUCUCCAAAAAAGUCCACGUUGGAUGGCUCAA